CCUACGGGUCGCACCAGUGGGGAAUAUUGGACAAUGGGAGAAAGCCUGAUCCAGCAAUGCCGCGUGUGUGAAGAAGGUCUUCGGAUUGUAAAGCACUUUCGACGGGGACGAUGAUGACGGUACCCGUAGAAGAAGCCCCGGCUAACUUCGUGCCAGCAGCCGCGGUAAUACGAAGGGGGCUAGCGUUGUUCGGAAUUACUGGGCGUAAAGCGCGCGUAGGCGGAUAGAUAAGUCAGAGGUGAAAUCCCGGGGCUCAACCCCGGAAUUGCCUUUGAUACUGUUUAUCUUGAGUGCAGAAGAGGUAAGUGGAAUUCCCAGUGUAGAGGUGAAAUUCGUAGAUAUUGGGAAGAACACCGGUGGCGAAGGCGGCAACCUGGCUCGAUACUGACGCUGAGGCGCGAAAGCGUGGGGAGCAAACAGGAUUAGAUACCCCGGUAGUC
rnacentral:rRNA from 1 species